UUCUGUGUGUGGCUUUCAUUAUAGACUUCUACUAGACGGUUUCUUGGAGACUCUGACCCUCGCUGGGAAGCGUCCGUUGACAAGCCCUAUGCAUUCAGGGGAAGUGGGACACACUCGGGCACUCGUCUGCUCCUGCUUUUGUAUUUCCACGAUGCUGACCCAGGGACAUUCCCGGGGGCACCUCGAUGCGUGACUGCCAAGUGCGGCUACGUGGGUCCCGGCCCAGGACGGAAGGACAUAACCACUUCGUCUCUGAGACGCCCGCCUGCCCCAGUGCUGAGAUCCCACCAGGUGAGUGAUGCUUUAGAAGAGGAUGUUUAACCCCAUCUGGAGACGGUGCCUGGGUCUUACAACCGUUAAACCUCAGGAGCCAUCAGGCCUCCGCUUGCUGUCUCAUCUUUUCUGGCCCCAAGAGGGGCCUGAGACCAGAAAAGGCCUCCCAGCCCCUGUGUCCAGUCUGUCCCUGACGACGCACACACAGCCCCAGGCCAAAGGCUCCGGUGCGCUAACCGCAAAGCACAGCAGAAGUAACGGAACUGGGCAAGCAGAGAGGCUCCAGGGUCCCACGUGGCUCUCGCGACCAGUCCCGGCUGUGGGACCGACGUGGGCCUCGGCUACGGCCCAUACUCUUCAGGGUGAGGCUCACCACCCCAUGCCUGGAGGUGAGGGGUGUGCGGGCUUCUUUACUUGAUGAGCCCACUCCCCACACAUAGGCCCCAGGAAGCUUCCAGACUGGGUGAUGUGCACUUCACAGACUCCCUGCCCCUACCCUGGGACCCCCCUCCCCUUCCCAUUAAAGUCUGUGUUUCUUCUUUUUUAAUUUUUUUAAUGUUUACUUAUUUUUGAGAGCGAGAGAGAGCGUGAGUGGAGGAGGGGCAGAGAGAGAGGGAGACACAGAACCCGAAACAGGCUCCGAGCUGUCAGCACAGCGCCCGACACGGGGCUCGAACUCGAACUCACAAACAUGAGAUCAUGACCUGAGCCGAGGUCAGCGCUUAACUGACUGAGCCACCCAGGCGCCCCUGAAGUCUGUGUUUCUAAUGCACAGAGGAUUACCGCAGAUCUGACAAUUCUCCUUCUGGGUAUACACCCGAAAGAACCGAAGGCAGCAUCUCCGAACACAUAUUUGUACGCCCACGGUCAUAACGUCUGCACGGCAGUGUCACUCACCGUCACCAAAAGGUGAAAGCCACUCAAGUGUCCAUCGGCAGAGAAACAAAUGUGGUCCAUCCACGCGAUGGAGUGUGAUUCAGCCUUAGGAAGGAAAGAAGGAUGUUCUGACCCCUGCUACAACACGGAUGGACCUCAAGGACAUCGUACUCAGUGAAACAAGCCAGAAUGACAGCUACGGUAUGAUCCCACUAGGCGAGGCCCCCAGAGGAGUCAAGUUCCUAGAGACAGAAACUGCCAGGCGGGUCUCCAGCUUCUUGCAGACUCCCGGGACGAGCCUGGUGACUCCACCUGACAGGGACCAGCCCCGGCCACACAACAUCUUCUCCGCGAUGCGAGCCCAGCUCGUCAGUGUGGGGCUCUACUCCGAGGCUAAGCACAGCCCUUCUCCGAGCUCACAGCUCCCCCUAACCCUGACCUCGUUCUCCGUCCCUCAUCCCCCAGCCUUGGAGGGAGGCUGCUUCCCGCACCUGUUGUCUUUGCUGCCUCCCUCCCUCACGUUUGUAUGCCUUGUUAGUCCUCCAAGAGCUAUUUAACCA